UACGAAGGUCCCGAGCGUUGUUCGGAAUCACUGGGCUUAAAGCGCGCGUAGGCGGAUGUUUAAGUGUCUUGUGAAAUCCCACGGCUCAACCGUGGAACUGCUGGGCAUACUGGACAUCUCGAGGCACUCAGGGGCGAGCGGAACAAGUGGUGGAGCGGUGAAAUGCGCAGAUAUCAGGAGGAACACCGGUGGCGAAGGCGGAUCUCUGGGCCUGUCCUGACGCUCAGGCGCGAAAGCUAGGGGAGCAAACGGG
rnacentral:rRNA from 1 species